rnacentral:ncRNA from 1 species
UAUCUGGUUGAUUCUGCCAGUAGUCAUAUGCUUGUCUCAAAGAUUAAGCCAUGCAUGUCUAAGUAUAAGCAAUUAUACAGCGAAACUGCGAAUGGCUCAUUAUAUAAGUUAUCGUUUAUUUGAUAGUACCUUACUACUUGGAUAACCGUGGUAAUUCUAGAGCUAAUACAUGCUAAAAAUCCCGACUUCGGAAGGGAUGUAUUUAUUAGAUUAAAAACCAAUGCCCUUUGGGCUCCUUGGUGAUUCAUGAUAACUUCUCGAAUCGCAUGGCCUUGCGCCGGCGAUGGCUCAUUCAAAUUUCUUCCCUAUCAACUUUCGAUGUUUGGGUAUUGGCCAAACAUGGUCGCAACGGGUAACGGAGGGUUAGGGCUCGACCCCGGAGAAGGAGCCUGAGAAACGGCUACUACAUCCAAGGAAGGCAGCAGGCGCGCAAAUUACCCAAUCCCGACUCGGGGAGGUAGUGACAAUAAAUACUGAUACGAGGCUCUUUUGGGCCUUGUAAUUGGAAUGAGUACAAUUUAAAUCUCUUAACGAGGAACAAUUGGAGGGCAAGUCUGGUGCCAGCAGCCGCGGUAAUUCCAGCUCCAAUAGCGUAUAUUAAAGUUGUUGUGGUUAAAAAGCUCGUAGUUGAACCUUGGGCCUGGCUGGCCGGUCCGCCUCACCGCGUGUACUGGUCCGGCCGGGCCUUUCCCUCUGUGGAACCUCAUGCCCUUCACUGGGUGUGGCGGGG